rnacentral:piRNA from 1 species
UGAAACUGGUGAUUUCCUCUCUACGAAGGC